UCCCGACACGUGCAGGGGCUUGGCCCUGCCAGCCCCGCUGCCAGCCUGGGCUGGCCCCGCAGCCCCUUCCCCAGCUCUCCUGUGCCAGGUACCCGGGGGUGGCCACCCCGCGUCCCCUGAGGAGGAGAUGGUGGCCAGGGCUGCAUCGCGAGGGCUCGGUCGUGGGGCACACAGGGCUUGGACAGGGGUCAGGCAGAGACGUGGGGACACAUAUAGACACGCACGGAGACACACUCCCCACCGCUUCAGCGGAGCUUUCGCAGCAGGCGGCAAUGAACAGGCCCGCAGCGAGGUCUGCACAGAUCUGGAACAGGAGGCUGAGAGAUCCUUGGGGUGUUUGUGAGUCACAGGGAAGCUCAGGCAGGGGUUGCACCAGGAAGAGCAGGAACCACAGGGGCAGGGCCACAGAGAGAAGCACCCCAGGAUUCAUAUCUGCUCUCCCCUGUAAAGGGAACAAUCCCUGCAUCAUCAUCCCUGCAAUCCCCCAGUCCUGACGCAGCAACAAUUGUGGGAGCCUUGGAAAGGCUGCUGGGUGCAGGCAGCCCAGCUGGGAAGGGGAGGGAAGGGAAUUCCAGGCUGCAAACCCACCACUGUCCAGGGAGAUGGGGAAACAACACUCCCAUCUGGGCACAGAACCCCACAGCUGGCUCACAGCACUGUCCCCUCUGUGUCAUCAUCCCAUUAGGUGCCUAAUCACGGGAAGAUGCAUCCCCGUGCUGCUGCAUUAUCCCACCACAGAAGAUAGGGUGCCAACAAUCUUUCGUCCUGUGUCUGACCCUCAACACCCCACUGAGCCCAGGGAGUGAAACCCCAAUGGAACCACUGGGAGAGGCCCUGUGGGGGCAGUGCAGGGACACAGGGAAUUGGGACCAGCCCAUGAGAAACCCCUUCCCCAGCACCACCACAGGGUCCCAGAGCCUGUAUCCCCCAACAUACCCACCCAGCCCACAGUGGUCUGCACAAGUUGCCU